rnacentral:rRNA from 1 species
GACGAACGCUGGCGGCGUGCUUAACACAUGCAAGUCGAACGGAAAGGCCCUGCUUGCAGGGUACUCGAGUGGCGAACGGGUGAGUAACACGUGGGUGAUCUGCCCUGCACUUCGGGAUAAGCUUGGGAAACUGGGUCUAAUACCGGAUAGGAGCCAUCUUUAGUGUGGUGGUUGGAAAGUUUUUUCGGUGUAGGAUGAGCUCGCGGCCUAUCAGCUUGUUGGUGGGGUAAUGGCCUACCAAGGCGGCGACGGGUAGCCGGCCUGAGAGGGUGUACGGCCACAUUGGGACUGAGAUACGGCCCAGACUCCUACGGGAGGCAGCAGUGGGGAAUAUUGCACAAUGGGCGCAAGCCUGAUGCAGCGACGCCGCGUGGGGGAUGAAGGCCUUCGGGUUGUAAACUCCUUUCGCUAGGGACGAAGCUUUUUGUGACGGUACCUAGAUAAGAAGCACCGGCUAACUACGUGCCAGCAGCCGCGGUAAUACGUAGGGUGCGAGCGUUGUCCGGAAUUACUGGGCGUAAAGGGCUCGUAGGUGGUUUGUCGCGUCGUCUGUGAAAUUCUGGGGCUUAACUCCGGGCGUGCAGGCGAUACGGGCAUAACUUGAGUGCUGUAGGGGUAACUGGAAUUCCUGGUGUAGCGGUGAAAUGCGCAGAUAUCAGGAGGAACACCCGAUGGCGAAGGCAGGUUACUGGGCAGUUACUGACGCUGAGGAGCGAAAGCAUGGGUAGCGAACAGG